rnacentral:lncRNA from 1 species
GAGCAAAAUUUAAACGGAGCGGAAAAUUUGGAGAUAGCAAUUAAACAGAUAAAUGAUAAGCUUGAUAGGUUAGAGCCUACCGUCAAAAAAACAGAUUUUCAGCAACGGACAAUGACACAACCCGUGGAAUCGACAGAAUUGCGAGAAUCCCCGUACUAUAGAUCACCUAGAUUGCCUCCACAUCAUGCACAGAGUUGGAACUGUCCACGCUAUAGGCCGCCACAUUAUGAUCAGUAUCCACAACCUCACUUGACAACAUGUCAAAAUUAUAAUGCUAAACAUCUUCCAAGGUAUGCGCCGCCACAGACUUUUAAUAGGUUACAAGGAGGUCCACGC